AGCGAACGCUGGCGGCAGGCCUAACACAUGCAAGUCGAACGGAUCCUUCGGGAUUAGUGGCGGACGGGUGAGUAACACGUGGGAACGUGCCCUUUGGUUCGGAACAACUCAGGGACACUUGAGCUAAUACCGGAUGUGCCCUUCGGGGGAAAGAUUUAUCGCCAUUGGAGCGGCCCGCGUCUGAUUAGCUAGUUGGUGAGGUAAAGGCUCGCCAAGGCGACGAUCAGUAGCUGGUCUGAGAGGAUGAUCAGCCACAUUGGGACUGAGACACGGCCCAAACUCCUACGGGAGGCAGCAGUGGGGAAUCUUGCGCAAUGGGCGAAAGCCUGACGCAGCCAUGCCGCGUGAAUGAUGAAGGUCUUAGGAUUGUAAAAUUCUUUCACCGGGGACGAUAAUGACGGUACCCGGAGAAGAAGCCCCGGCUAACUUCGUGCCAGCAGCCGCAGUAAUAC
rnacentral:rRNA from 1 species